UGGGGAAUAUUGCACAAUGGGCGCAAGCCUGAUGCAGCCAUGCCGCGUGUAUGAAGAAGGCCUUCGGGUUGUAAAGUACUUUCAGCGGGGAGGAAGGGAGUAAAGUUAAUACCUUUGCUCAUUGACGUUACCCGCAGAAGAAGCACCGGCUAACUCCGUGCCAGCAGCCGCGGUAAUACGGAGGGUGCAAGCGUUAAUCGGAAUUACUGGGCGUAAAGCGCACGCAGGCGGUUUGUUAAGUCAGAUGUGAAAUCCCCGGGCUCAACCUGGGAACUACAUCUGAUACUGGCAAGCUUGAGUCUCGUAGAGGGGGGUAGAAUUCCAGGUGUAGCGGUGAAAUGCGUAGAGAUCUGGAGGAAUACCGGUGGCGAAGGCGGCCCCCUGGACGAAGACUGACGCUCAGGUGCGAAAGCGUGGGGAGCAAACA
rnacentral:rRNA from 1 species